GCAUGUAUAGGUUGGUGCAAAAGUAAUUGCGGUUUUUGUCAUUACUUUUAAUGGCAAAAACCGCAAUUACUUUUGCACCAACCUAUACUU
ensembl:miRNA